CCUACGGGAGGCUGCAGUGGGGAAUAUUGGACAAUGGGCGAAAGCCUGAUCCAGCCAUGCCGCGUGUGUGAAGAAGGCCUUCGGGUUGUAAAGCACUUUCAGUGGGGAAGAAAGCCUUGGGGCUAAUACCCUCGAGGAAGGACAUCACCCACAGAAGAAGCACCGGCUAACUCCGUGCCAGCAGCCGCGGUAAUACGGAGGGUGCGAGCGUUAAUCGGAAUUACUGGGCGUAAAGCGCGCGUAGGCGGUCUGAUAAGCCGGUUGUGAAAGCCCCGGGCUCAACCUGGGAACGGCAUCCGGAACUGUCAGGCUAGAGUGCAGGAGAGGAAGGUAGAAUUCCCGGUGUAGCGGUGAAAUGCGUAGAGAUCGGGAGGAAUACCAGUGGCGAAGGCGGCCUUCUGGACUGACACUGACGCUGAGGUGCGAAAGCGUGGGUAGCACACAGGAUUAGAUACCCUGGUAGUC
rnacentral:rRNA from 1 species